rnacentral:rRNA from 1 species
GCUCAAAUUUGAAAUCUGGCCCCCCGGGUCCGAGUUGUAAUUUGCAGAGGAUGCUUUUGGCGCGGUGCCUUCCGAGUUCCCUGGAACGGGACGCCAUAGAGGGUGAGAGCCCCGUACGGUUGGACACCAAGCCUGUGUAAAGCUCCUUCGACGAGUCGAGUAGUUUGGGAAUGCUGCUCAAAAUGGGAGGUAUAUUUCUUCUAAAGCUAAAUACCGGCCAGAGACCGAUAGCGCACAAGUAGAGUGAUCGAAAGAUGAAAAGCACUUUGAAAAGAGGGUUAAACAGCACGUGAAAUUGUUAAAAGGGAAGCGCUUGUGACCAGACUUGCGCCCGGUGAAUCACCCAGCUCUCGCGGCUGGGGCACUUUGCCGGCUCAGGCCAGCAUCAGCUCGCCGUCGGGGACAAAAGCUUCGGGAACGUAGCUCUCUUCGGGGAGUGUUAUAGCCCGCUGCACAAUACCCUUCGGCGGGCUGAGGUACGCGCUCCGCAAGGAUGCUGGCGUAAUGGUCAUCAGCGACCCGUCUUGAAACACGGACCAAGGAGUCAACCUUAUGUGCGAGUGUUCGGGUGUCAAACCCCUACGCGAAAUGAAAGUGAACGCAGGUGAGAGCUUCGGCGCAUCAUCGACCGAUCCUGAUGUUCUCGGAUGGAUUUGAGUAAGAGCAUAUAGGGUUGGACCCGAAAGAAGGUGAACUAUGCGUGUAUAGGGUGAAGCCAGAGGAAACUCUGGUGGAGGCUCGCAGCGGUUCUGACGUGCAAAUCGAUCGUCAAAUAUGCGCAUGGGGGCGAAAGACUAAUCGAACCUUCUAGUAGCUGGUUUCCGCCGAAGUUUCCCUCAGGAUAGCAGUGUUGAACUCAGUUUUAUGAGGUAAAGCGAAUGAUUAGGGACUCGGGGGCGCUAUAUUGCCUUCAUCCAUUCUCAAACUUUAAAUAUGUAAGAAGC